GACGAACGCUGGCGGCGCGCUUAACACAUGCAAGUCGAGCGGUAAGGCCCUUUCGGGGGUACACGAGCGGCGAACGGGUGAGUAACACGUGGGUGACCUGCCCUUAGCUCUGGGAUAAGCCUGGGAAACUGGGUCUAAUACCGGAUAUGACUCCAUAACGCAUGUUGUGGGGUGGAAAGCCUUGUGCGGCUAGGGAUGGGCCCGCGGCCUAUCAGCUUGUUGGUGGGGUGAUGGCCACCAAGGCGACGACGGGUAGCCGGCCUGAGAGGGCGACCGGCCACACUGGGACUGAGACACGGCCCAGACUCCUACGGGAGGCAGCAGUGGGGAAUCUUGCGCAAUGGGCGAAAGCCUGACGCAGCGACGCCGCGUGGGGAUGAC
rnacentral:rRNA from 1 species